rnacentral:rRNA from 1 species
GUGGGGAAUCUUGCGCAAUGGGCGAAAGCCUGAUGCAGCCAUGCCGCGUGAAUGAUGAAGGUCUUAGGAUUGUAAAAUUCUUUCACCGGGGACGAUAAUGACGGUACCCGGAGAAGAAGCCCCGGCUAACUUCGUGCCAGCAGCCGCGGUAAUACGAAGGGGGCUAGCGUUGCUCGGAUUUACUGGGCGUAAAGGGCGCGUAGGCGGACAGUUAAGUCAGGGGUGAAAUCCCGGGGCUCAAACUCGGAACUGCCUUUGAUACUGGGUGUCUUGAGUAUGAGAGAGGUGUGUGGAACUCCGAGUGUAGAGGUGAAAUUCGUAGAUAUUCGGAAGAACACCAGUGGCGAAGGCGACACACUGGCUCAUUACUGACGCUGAGGCGCGAAAGCGUGGGGAGCAAACAGGAUUAGAAACCCUGGUAGUCC